UACGGGGGGGGUAAGCGUUGUUCGGAAUUACUGGGCGUAAAGGGCUCGUAGGCGGUCAACUAAGUCAUACGUGAAAUCCCUCAGCUUAACUGGGGAACUGCGUGUGAUACUGGAUGGCUUGGAUUUGGGAGAGGGAUGCGGAAUUCCAGGUGUAGCGGUGAAAUGCGCAGAUAUCAGGAAGAACACCAAUGGCGAAAGCAGCUCUCUGGGACGGUACUGACGCUGAGACGCGAAAGCGUGGGGAGCGAACAGG
rnacentral:rRNA from 1 species